CAAAAGCUUGGUCCUGGUUUUUCCGUCAGCUAUAGCUAGACUUACACAUGCAAGUAUCCGCACCCCUGUGAAAAUGCCCCCACCUCCUUGCCCGGAGCCGGGGAGCCGGUAUCAGGCACAAUCCUAAUUAGCCCAUGACACCUUGCUUAGCCACACCCCCAAGGGACUCAGCAGUGAUAAAUUUUAAGCCAUGAGUGAAAGCUCGACUUAGUCAAAGCCCAGAGAGCCGGUAAACCUCGUGCCAGCCACCGCGGUUAGACGGGAGGCUCAAGUUGACAGACUACGGCGUAAAGCGUGGUUAGGGAAAAAAUAAUAAAACUAAAGCCGAACAUCCUCAAAGCUGUUUAACGCUUCCGAGUCAAGAAGCCCCUUUACGAAAGUAGCUUUAUUUAACCUGAUCCCACGAAAGCUGAGGAACAAACUGGGAUUAGAUACCCCACUAUGCUCAGUCGUAAACCUUGAUAGGUCACUACACCCCCUAUCCGCCCGGGUACUACGAGCAUUAGCUUGAAACCCAAAGGACUUGGCGGUGCUUCACAUCCGUCUAGAGGAGCCUGUCCUAGAACCGAUAAUCCUCGUUAAACCUCACCCUCUCUUGUUAAUUCCGCCUAUAUACCGCCGUCGUCAGCCUACCCUGUGAAGGCCCAGAAGUGAGCGAGAUCGGUAAAGCCCAAAACGCCAGGUCGAGGUGUAGCGUAUGAGAGGGGAAGAGAUGGGCUACAUUUCCUAAAUCAGGAAACACGGAAAAUGAUCUGAAAUAAAUCAUAAGAAGGUGGAUUUAGCAGUAAGCAGGAGAACAGAGUGCUCCGCUGAAACAAUGGCAAUAAAGCGCGCACAUACCGCCCGU
rnacentral:ncRNA from 1 species